rnacentral:rRNA from 1 species
UACGUAGGGUGCAAGCGUUAAUCGGAAUUACUGGGCGUAAAGCGUGCGCAGGCGGUUAUGUAAGACAGGUGUGAAAUCCCCGGGCUCAACCUGGGAACUGCAUCUGUGACUGCAUAGCUAGAGUACGGUAGAGGGGGAUGGAAUUCCGCGUGUAGCAGCGAAAUGCGUAGAUAUGCGGAGGAACACCGAUGGCGAAGGCAAUCCCCUGGACCUGUACUGACGCUCAUGCACGAAAGCGUGGGGAGCAAACAGG